rnacentral:rRNA from 1 species
AGCUCCAAUAGCGUAUAUUAAAAAAGUUGUUGCAGUUAAAGAGCUCGUAGUUGGAUUUUUGGUCGGAGUGAUCGGUCUGGCACUCAUGUGUCGGUACUCGUAUUGUCUCCGGCCAUCAUUGUGUGGAGUAUGUUUGGCAUUAAGUUGUCGAGCAGGUGAUGCCUAUCGUUUACUGUGAAAAAAAUAGAGUGUUCAAAGCAGGCUUAGGCCGUUGAAUAUUAGCAUGGAAUAAUAAGAUAGGACCUUGAUACUAUUUUGUUGGUUUGCGCACCGAGGUAAUGAUUAAUAAGGACAGUUGGGGGUAUUUAUAUUCCGUUGUCAGAGGUGAAAUUCUUGGAUUUACGGAAGACAAACUACUAUGAAAGUAUUUACCAAGGAUGUUUUCA